rnacentral:tRNA from 1 species
GCCUCCUUAGUUAAUCCGGAUAUAACAAAUCCCUCCUAAGGAUUAGUGGUCGGUUCGAGUCCGGCAGGGGGUG